UCAGACAUGGUGUUGUGGUGACACGGCCUCUUCCUCUUUGAAUCAGGGUUGGAACAGAAAAUAUUACUGGUAGUGGGAGUUCGGGGUUCGAUUCCCUGUGUCUGAA